UACGUAGGGUGCGAGCGUUGUCCGGAAUUAUUGGGCGUAAAGAGCUCGUAGGCGGUGUGUCACGUCGGCCGUGAAAGCCUGCAGCUUAACUGUGGGCGUGCGGUCGAUACGGGCAUCACUGGAGUUCGGCAGGGGAGACUGGAAUUCCUGGUGUAGCGGUGAAAUGCGCAGAUAUCAGGAGGAACACCGGUGGCGAAGGCGGGUCUCUGGGCCACUACUGACGCUGAGAAGCGAAAGCAUGGGGAGCGAACAGG
rnacentral:rRNA from 1 species